GACGAACGCUGGCGGCGUGCUUAACACAUGCAAGUCGAACGGUAAGGCCCUUCGGGGUACACGAGUGGCGAGCGGGUGAGUAACACGUGGGUGAUCUGCCCUGCACUUCGGGAUAAGCCUGGGAAACUGGGUCUAAUACCGGAUAGGACCACUGCCUGCAUGGGUGGUGGUGGAAAGCUUUUGCGGUGUGGGAUGGGCCCGCGGCCUAUCAGCUUGUUGGUGGGGUGAUGGCCUACCAAGGCGACGACGGGUAGCCGGCCUGGGAGGGUGACCGGCCACACUGGGACUGAGAUACGGCCCAGACUCCUCCGGGAGGCAGCAGUGGGGAAUAUUGCACAAUGGGCGCAAGCCUGAUGCAGCGACGCCGCGUGAGGGAUGACGGCCUUCGGGUUGUAAACCUCUUUCAGCUAUGACGAAGCGCAAGUGACGGUAGUAGCAGAAGAAGGACCGGCCAACUACGUGCCAGCAGCCGCGGUAA
rnacentral:rRNA from 1 species